rnacentral:rRNA from 1 species
CCUACGGGUGGCUGCAGUGGGGAAUAUUGGACAAUGGGCGCAAGCCUGAUCCAGCCAUGCCGCGUGAGUGAUGAAGGCCCUAGGGUUGUAAAGCUCUUUCGCCAGGGACGAUAAUGACGGUACCUGGAGAAGAAGCCCCGGCUAACUUCGUGCCAGCAGCCGCGGUAAUACGAAGGGGGCUAGCGUUGUUCGGAUUAACUGGGCGUAAAGCGCACGUAGGCGGAUCUUUAAGUCAGGGGUGAAAUCCCGAGGCUCAACCUCGGAACGGCCUUUGAUACUGGAGAUCUCGAGUUCGGGAGAGGUGAGUGGAACUGCGAGUGUAGAGGUGAAAUUCGUAGAUAUUCGCAAGAACACCAGUGGCGAAGGCGGCUCACUGGCCCGAUACUGACGCUGAGGUGCGAAAGCGUGGGGAGCAAACAGGAUUAGAUACCCGGGUAGUC